rnacentral:rRNA from 1 species
GACAGAGGGGGCAAGCGUUGCUCGGAAUUACUGGGCGUAAAGCGCGUUCAGGCGGUUUGGCAAGUCGGGCAUGAAAUCUCUGGGCUCAACCCGGAGAGGUUGUCCGAUACUGCUAAACAGGAGGGCAGUAGAGGGUGGUGGAAUUCCGGGUGUAGUGGUGAAAUGCGUAGAGAUCCGGAGGAACACCAGUGGCGAAAGCGGCCACCUGGACUGCACCUGACGCUGAAACGCGAAAGCUAGGGGAGCGAACGGG